rnacentral:lncRNA from 13 species
AUGAAAAUCCACAGAGAGGGAAGAUCUCCAAAGCUUUUGUUCCUGUUUGUUGUCUUGACAAACUCGGUGGCUGAAAGGGUUUUUAAUCUCAGCUUCUGGUGUUUCCAAAAGGCAAGAAACCUCAUUUAUAGCUUGGGUUCUUCUAUUCACACGUCCAGCUUGGUGUCUCCGUGUCCUCCUAGGUGUUCCCAGGUCCUCCUUGCUGUUUCCAUGUCCUCCUUGGCGUUUCCAGGCCCUCCUUUGUGUUUCCAGGUCCUCCUUGGUGUCUCCAUGUCCUCCUUGGUGUCUCCAUGUCCUCCUUGGUGUUUCCAUGUCCUCCUUGGUGUUCCCACAUCCUUCUUGAUGUUCCCAGGUUCUCCUUGGUGCUCCCACAUCUUCCUUGGUGUUCCCAGGUCCUCCUUGCUGUUUCUGUGUCCUCCUUGGUGUUCCAGGUCCUCCUUGCUGUUCCCAGGUCCUCCUUGGUGUUUCUGUGUCCUCCUUGGUGUUCCCAGGUCCUCCUUGGUGUUCCCAGGUCCUCCUUGGUGUUUCUGGGUCCUCCUUGGUGUAUCCGUGUCCUCCUUGGUGUAUCCAUGUCCUCCUUGGUGUUCCCAAGUCCUUCUUGGUGUUCCCAGGUUCUCCUUGGUGCUCCCACAUCUUCCUUGGUGUUCCCAGGUCCUCCUUGGUGUUUCCAUGUCCUCCUUGGUGUUUCCAUGUCCUCCUUGGUGUUCCCAUGUCCUCCUAGGUGUUUCCAAGUCCUCCUUGCUGUUCCCAGGUCCUCCUUGGUGUUCCCAGGUCCUCCUUGGUGUUUCUGUGUCCUCCUUGGUGUUUCUGUGUCCUCUUUGGUGUUCCCAGGUCCUCCUUGGUGUUUCUGUGUCCUCCUUGGUGUUUCUGUGUCCUCUUUGGUGUUCCCAGGUCCUCCUUGGUGUUCCCACAUCCUCCUUGGUGUUCCCAGGUCCUCCUUGGUGUUUCAUAUCUUCCUUGGUGUUCCCACUUCCUCCUUGGCGUUUCCAAGUCUUCCUUGGUGUUUCUGUGUCCUCCUUGUUGUUUCCAGCUCCUCCUUCGCAAUUCAAAGCUCAGAGACAUCACACGAACUUUGCUGAGACAGAAAUCCUGUGGAUGUGCUUCUUUCAGUGA